rnacentral:rRNA from 1 species
CAGUAGCCGCGGGAAUACGUAGGGCGCGAGCGUUAAUCGGAAUUACUGGGCGUAAAGCGUGCGCAGGCGGUUGUGUAAGACAGGUGUGAAAUCCCCGGGCUUAACCUGGGAACUGCGCUUGUGACUGCACAGCUAGAGUAUGGCAGAGGGGGGUGGAAUUCCACGUGUAGCAGUGAAAUGCGUAGAGAUGUGGAGGAACACCGAUGGCGAAGGCAGCCCCCUGGGCCAAUACUGACGCUCAUGCACGAAAGCGUGGGGAGCAAACAGGAUUAGAUACCCCCGUAGUCCCUGUCUCUUAUAC